rnacentral:misc_RNA from 1 species
GAUGAAGAACGUAGCGAAAUGCGAUAAGCAAUGUGAAUUGCAGAAUUCAGUGAAUCAUCGAAUCUUUGAACGCACAUUGCGCCCGCCAGUAUUCUGGCGGGCAUGCCUGUCCGAGCGUCAUUUCAACCCUCGAACCCCUCCGGGGGGUCGGCGUUGGGGACCUCGGGAGCCCCUAAGACGGGAUCCCGGCCCCGAAAUACAGUGGCGGUCUCGCCGCAGCCUCUCCUGCGCAGUAGUUUGCACAACUCGCACCGGGAGCGCGGCGCGUCCACGUCCGUAAAACACCCAACUUCUGAAAUGUUGACCUCGGAUCAGGUAGGAAUACCCGCUGAACUUAAGCAUAUCAAUAAGCGGAGGA